rnacentral:pre_miRNA from 2 species
UGAUGGCACGACAGCGGGCAACGGAAUCCCAAAAGCAGCUGUCUUCCUCUGAGCAUUCCAGCUGCGGUUGGAUUUCGUUACCUGCUCUCCUGCCCGG